rnacentral:lncRNA from 1 species
CUCAGCAAACCAGCAGCAGACCAAGUACAGUGGUCUGAUGUGCCUUUAUUGUAGAGAUUCUCUUUACUUUUCUGCUGAGUUUCAGUUUUCAUCAAGGAGCCUGAGAGGUCCUUUUUCUGUUACUAACUUCUGCUCUAUCUUGUGGUGCUCAGGACAAGGGUCUUUAUAAUCUCCUGUGCCUCUGUAGUGUGGGACCAGGUAGCAGAAAAGCCAGAAGGUAGGCGGCGCAAGGCGGAGGGGGGGAGGGGGAGAAUGGGCGUUGGAGGAGCCCUUGUGGCUAAGCCGACCUCACCUUGCCGUGGGAGUGGCCCUGGACUGCCCCGGAGCUUCAAGGUGCUUGUCUCUCCUGGCCGGUUGCAGCUUAGAGAGCUCCGUUGCUUGAUCUUUGAUGGAACUGCUCUGUCCUGUUUAGAAGUUACAGAGCCAAAACUACUGCCUGGUACUCAAGUCUUCUUCACGAUACCUCCUACACAUGGUUUGUCCAGUCUCUUCUUAAAUCAUCUUCUGUGACAGCAAGCUAUCAUCACUGUGGUCCAUUUCAUUGCCAGACAACUUCUUGAGUCAAACUGAAAUCCAUUCUUUUUGAAUGGUCUUAAAAAUAGAGGAGAAAGUUAUGAGGUCAAUCAGGGAUCUGUGCAGGAGACAGAAAGCACUUCAGGUAUCUCAGUCAAAACGGUAUUUUAUACAGGGAACUAAGUACUUUCAAAAUUAUUUAAAAUUUUGGGGUAGAUAGGAAGUCAAGGAAUAGAUAUUGGCUUCCCCCCAAAUUUUAACUUUUAUUGAACUAUAAUAUAUUCAUAGAAAAUGGUGUUGGUAGUAUGGCUUCAAGAUCACCCAACAGUGAACUGCCAGACUCACCUCUCUCUCUCUCUCUCUCCCUCCUUAGAUAGAGUCUUGAUAUCUUCCAAACUAGCCUCACUGGACAUGAUCCUCCUUUCUCAACCUACAAUAUAUUGGAAUUGCAAGCAUGUACCAUCACACACACCCAGCACUUUGCUUAAUUUCUAUCUUUCAAAUUUAUUUUACUAGCCUCUGUGCUACAAGGUUACACAGAGUUCCAUAACAAGGUAAGUGAAUGCAUACCAAAGGACUAUAAA